ACACACAAAACAAGCGGUGAGUGCUUUGGGGUGGGGUGACUGCGUACCUUUUGUAUAAUGGGUCAGCGACUUAUAUUCUGUAGCAAGGUUAACCGAAUAGGGGAGCCGUAGGGAAACCGAGUCUUAACCGGGCGUUAAGUUGCAGGGUAUAGACCCGAAACCCGGUGAUCUAGCCAUGGGCAGGUUGAAGGUUGGGUAACACUAACUGGAGGACCGAACCGACUAAUGUUGAAAAAUUAGCGGAUGACCUGUGGCUGGGGGUGAAAGGCCAAUCAAACCGGGAGAUAGCUGGUUCUCCCCGAAAGCUAUUUAGGUAGCGCCUCGUGAAUUCAUCUCCGGGGGUAGAGCACUGUUUCGGCUAGGGGGCCAUCCCGGCUUACCAACCCGAUGCAAACUGCGAAUACCGGAGAAUGUUAUCACGGGAGACACACGGCGGGUGCUAACGUCCGUCGUGAAGAGGGAAACAACCCAGACCGCCAGCUAAGGUCCCAAAGUCAUGGUUAAGUGGGAAACGAUGUGGGAAGGCCCAGACAGCCAGGAUGUUGGCUUAGAAGCAGCCAUCAUUUAAAGAAAGCGUAAUAGCUCACUGGUCGAGUCGGCCUGCGCGGAAGAUGUAACGGGGCUAAACCAU
rnacentral:rRNA from 1 species